rnacentral:lncRNA from 1 species
CAUAUUGUUCGCUUUUAAAAAUGCCUUCCCUUGUUCAAGGAGGAGCCACAGCCUCAUCCUCUGAUGGCUCAGCCUAAGCAGUUUUCCCACAAUAGCACUCUGUGUUGCCAGAUACCUAGGAAGGGAGGUGCUGACCCAAGACUGUUUGUGAUGGGGACAGGGAUGGCACUUGCAUCCUGUCUGGAAGGCUGGUGGGUUAUGCAGACCCUAGCUGCUGUCUCUGCUGGUUGUGAGAAGUCGUUGCAAACUCCAUUGUCCCGAGGAGGCCGGUGCUGCCACUUCUCCCUGUGUGCACACACACAUGCACAAGCAUAUGCACACACACUUGAGAACACACACCCAUGCACACACACACACAAGCAUGUGCACACAUGCACACCCAUGCUCAUGCACACACUCAUGCAUGCACACCCACAUACACUCAGGGUCCCCGUCACCAAGUUCAGGUCCACACAAGGUGGUCACUGUCCUGUGCCCUCCAAGAUGAGCCUGUGAGAUGGAGGUGACAGGCCAUUCAUCUUCUGAUAAAUCCCAGGCUUGGGACCAGCAGGAUCCCUCAAGUUUCCCACAGCUGUGGGGCAGGGGUCUGGUGUUCUUACUGGAUAAAAUAUACGCCACACACUUUCCUGA